rnacentral:rRNA from 1 species
UACGGGGGGGCAAGCGUUGUUCGGAAUUACUGGGCGUAAAGGGCUCGUAGGCGGCCAACUAAGUCGGACGUGAAAUCCCUCGGCUCAACCGAGGAACUGCGUCCGAUACUGAAAGGCUUGAAUCCGGGAGAGGGAUGUGGAAUUCCAGGUGUAGCGGUGAAAUGCGUAGAUAUCUGGAGGAACACCGGUGGCGAAGGCGGCAUCCUGGACCGGCAUUGACGCUGAGGCGCGAAAGCUAGGGGAGCAAACGGG